rfam:Ovis aries breed Texel chromosome 15, whole genome shotgun sequence.
UCCCUGAUGGUCCAAUGGUUAGGACUCCAUACUUUCAUUGCUGAGGGCCUGGGUUCAAGCCCUGCUCAGGGAA